AGCGAACGCUGGCGGCAGGCUUAACACAUGCAAGUCGAACGGGCAUCUUCGGAUGUCAGCGGCAGACGGGUGAGUAACACGUGGGAACGUACCCUUCGGUUCGGAACAACUCUGGGAAACUGGAGCUAAUACCGGAUACGCCCUUAUGGGGAAAGGCUUACUGCCGAAGGAUCGGCCCGCGUCUGAUUAGCUAGUUGGUGGGGUAACGGCCUACCAAGGCGACGAUCAGUAGCUGGUCUGAGAGGAUGAUCAGCCACACUGGGACUGAGACACGGCCCAGACUCCUACGGGAGGCAGCAGUGGGGAAUAUUGGACAAUGGGCGCAAGCCUGAUCCAGCCAUGCCGCGUGAGUGAUGAAGGCCUUAGGGUUGUAAAGCUCUUUUGUCCGGGACGAUAAUGACGGUACCGGAAGAAUAAGCCCCGGCUAACUUCGUG
rnacentral:rRNA from 1 species